rnacentral:rRNA from 1 species
GACGAACGCUGGCGGCGUGCUUAACACAUGCAAGUCGAGCGGUAAGGCCCUUUCGGGGGUACACGAGCGGCGAACGGGUGAGUAACACGUGGGUGACCUGCCCUCAGCUCUGGGAUAAGCCUGGGAAACUGGGUCUAAUACCGGAUAUGACUCCAUGACGCAUGUUGUGGGGUGGAAAGCCUUGUGCGGCUGAGGAUGGGCCCGCGGCCGAUUAGCUUGUUGGUGAGGUAACGGCUCACCAAGGCGACGAUCGGUAGCUGGUCUGAGAGGACGAUCAGCCACACUGGGACUGAGACACGGCCCAGACUCCUACGGGAGGCAGCAGUGGGGAAUCUUGCGCAAUGGGCGAAAGCCUGACGCAGCGACGCCGCGUGCGGGAAGAAGG